ACCAGGUGAGGUGGCGCACACCUGUAAUCCCAAUUGCUCAGGAGGCUGAGGCAAGAGGAUCACAAGUUCAAAGCCAGCCUCAGUAACUUAAGGCCCCAAGCAACUUUGUGAGACCUUUUCUCUA
rnacentral:sRNA from 1 species